rnacentral:lncRNA from 9 species
GACAGGUACCAGGAGAGGGUCCAUGUGCCCAACAUAACGUCCCUGAAGAUUGAGAACCUGACCCCCGAGGACAGUGGGCUGUACCGGGCUCGAGGCAUCUUCACUGGAGGAGUAGAUUUUACCCAGGUUUUCCACCUCACUGUCUAUGAGCCUGUGCCCAUCCCCCAGAUCCUGGUCCACUCACCAUCCAUCACGCAAGGCUGGUGCAAUGUCACCAUUGAGUGCAGGAUCUCAUGGGGCACAGAGGACCUGAAGGUGACCCGGGAGGGCAAGGGCCUCCCCAGGCAGCUGGAGGAGAGAGUGACACUGGGACCAGCCCCCAGUUCCUGGACCUUGGCUGUGCACCUUCCCCGGAGCCAGCCUUACACCAACAUCACCUGUGUGGUCAGCAACGAAGUGGACCAGAAAACUGCCACCUUCAACCUUGGGGAAGUCUGCCACCUCGGGGACGCCCAUGGUUCACUUGGAGAGGCGAUUGUUGUUUCCCUACGAGGCAUCCUAGGGUCUGUCGUGGUCAUGGUGUUGGUCCUCAGAGGUGGACUGUACCUUUGGAAGGCACACGGGAAGAAGAAGAAGAAGGAGAAGGAGAAGGAGAAGGAGAAGGAGAAGGAGAAGGAGAAGGAGAAGGAGAAGGAGAAGAAGAAGAAGAAGAUGGAGACUGCAAGAGGCAGGUGGCACUUCUCCUUCCUGCCCCAGUUACUUCCCCUCCCCCACUGGACCCUUGGCGCCCUUCCUCCUGCAUUCACUUCUCAAGGAAUAUCUGUGCACAGGAGAUGGUGGCAGUGGUCAUGGCCUUGGGGUACACAGCAGUGGGUGGAGGGUACUGGUUUCCCAGGCCCCGAUUUAAGCUCCAUUCUGUUUGUGACUCAGGAGCAGGAUUGCAGGAGGAUCAUGGGGUCCGUGACUGUGGCAUCUAGAGUGCAGAACUGAGCCAGCAGGAGUCUCUUGAGGUGAGAUGUACCCAGUGAGUACUGAGCAUUGUGCCCAACCUGUGCUCUCCUGGUUCCCUCACUGCCCAGGCCUGGGUUUGUCUAACUCAUGCAUUGCUGUUUUUAUUCCUCCUGCCACUUUAACUCUUUCUGGACAAUACACUGAGAAUUUAACCCUGGGACCAGUGUAUAGACCUGUGGAAUUCUCCAGCAUCCUGGCAUAUUGGACAGAUGCCAACCUUUGUUGAGUUGGUGAUGGAUAGGCCUGUAUUCAGAUGUGCUUAGUUUGCCAUAAUGUUCCCUUUCUAUUCCAGGGUCCUACCCAGGACACCACCUUACCUGCAGGUGCUAUGUCUCCUGAACUCUUCUUGGCAGUUUCUCAGACUCAUUUUAAAGAAUACCAGUUAGGAGUUUUCUAAAUGUCCUCAGUGAAGAUUUGUUUGCUGUUUCUCUCAUGAUUAAACUGGAAUUCUUUUUGAAGAAAUCCACAGAGGUAAAGUGUCAUUUAAAUCACCUAUCAAGGGUACAUAAUAUCAAUAUAACUUAUCCGAUGGUGACCUUGACCUUGAUGACCUGGCCAAAGGGAGUGUUUGUCAGGCUCAUUCAUUAUGAUGUUAUUUCCCCCCUCCCCCCUUUCCACACGCUUCUCACUGGAAGGAAGUCGUUACGUGCAGUCCACACUUAAGCGGUGAAGGUUGUGCUUCUGUCCUUGAGGGUGGAGCAUUUACACACAUACCUACUUGCUAGAGUCGUCUGAGUGAGGAUGGAAGAAGUAAUGCACACCAAGUGCUUAGUCUCAGUGCCUUGUAUGGAGUAAGAACUCAAUAAAUGUCAACCACAGGAAAUACGCCAGGGAGCCCUUGGUCAGGAUUAAGCAUAUGCAGCAGACCUCUGAGGUACAAAAGGCCUAUUCAGAUACAUGCAGAUACAUUUUAUUAGAAUAGCAGAUUUUGGCCUUUGAUGUAGACAGCUCUAGGAUUUGGGUCAGAAAUAUUUCCGAGCCCCAAAUGUAGCAACACCUGGGUGGAGCAGUGAGUGGCAGUUAUUUUUCCCAGGUGUGGGUGGAAGUAUUGCUCUAUUGCUCAGAUUCUGAUCAGUGAGUUUUCCUAGAUCUGCUGACCCUACAGAGAAUGGAUGUGGACUUGCCUCGGCUCCUCCACAAAUCUUCCAGGCAAACGGCCCAGAGUUGAACAGAACAGUGGAAUAGUUACAUUAUUCUAAUGGACAAAGGGUAGCUCUCUCCCCUACCCUUUCUACCUCAUCAGGGUAGCUCUGAUGAGAAUCAGAGGAAGAACUAAAUAGAUGGAUGGGCUGAGUUCCUAGGAGAGCAUCUCUGGGAGGGAGAGGUUCUUCUACCAUUCAUGGAGACGUUUUGUAGUGUUUGGCAACAGAUGCCAACAUUGUCUGUGGGAUCCCGUGGACUCUGAAGACCAACUGGGGAAACACGAUACAGGUUUUUUUUUUUUUUUUUUUUUUUUUUUUUUAGGGCUGAACCCACAGCAUAUGGAGGUUCCCAGGCUAGGGGUUGAAUCAGAGCAGUAGCUGCUAUUCUAUGCCACAGCUACAGCAAUGCAGGAUCCGAGCUGAGUCUGCGACCUACACCACAGCUCAUGGCAACACUGAAUCUUCAACUCACUGAGCAAGCCAGGGAAUGAACCCGCAUCCUCAUGUAUACCAUUCUGAACCUGCUGAGCCACAAUGGGAACUCCCACCUACCACUUCUUGAGAGAGCUGGUAUCUCAAAUAAUGAUCAUGGCCAGAACAGCUGCUCUCCCUAGAUGGAUGGACUGGCCUCGGCCUCAUUGUUACACUGGUUUCAUCUCUGAUUGUUCUUUUGGUUGGUGAGAUUAGUUGUGAGGAUGCUACACACUCAAAAUUCCACCCCAGAGACAGCAACCCUAGAGUCCAACAGUUACUUGAUUGCCCAUGUGUGGGCUAAAUUGUCUUCCGCAAUUUACAGGUGGUAUCCUUAAUCCCCAGUGUGAUAGUAUUUUGAGAAACGGCGUUAAGGAGAUCAUUCAGUAUAUCUGAGAUCAAAAGUACAAAAAAGAAGCAGAUUCAGACAUAGAGAAGAAACUAGUGGUUACCAGUGUGUUAGAGAAAUGGGCAGGGGCCAUAUAGGGGUAGGGAGAUUGAGACACAAACUAGGAGUGCCUGUUGUGGCUCAGUGGAAACGAAUCUGACUAGCAUCCAUGAGGAUGUAGGUUCAAUCACUGGCCUCGCUGAGUGGGUUAGGAAUCCGGUGUUGGUGAGGCUGUGGUGUAGGCUUCAGACACGGCUUUGUUCUGGCAUUGCUGUGGCUGUGGAGCAGGCUGGCAGCUACAGCUUUGAUUUGGCCUCUAACCUGGGAAAUUCCAUAUGCCGUGGGUGCAGCCCUAAAAAGACCAAAAAAAAAAAGGAAAAAAAAGAUACAAACUUCUAUGUAUAAAAUAAGUAAGCUACAAGGAUCUAAUUUACAACACAGGGAUUAUGGCUAAUAUUUUACAAUAGCUAUAAAUGGCAUAUAACCUUUAAAAAUGAUGAAUCACGGAGUUCCCGUCGUGGCGCAGUGGUUAAUGAAUCCGACUAGGAACCAUGAGGUUGCGGGUUCGGUCCCUGCCCUUGCUCAGUGGGUUAACGAUCCGGUGUUGCCGUGAGCUGUGGUGUAGGUUGCAGGCGCGGCUCGGAUCCCGCGUUGCUGUGGCUGUGGAGUAGGCCGGUGGCUACAGCUCUGAUUGGACCCCUAGCCUGGGAACCUCCAUAUGCCGUGGGAGCGGCCCAAGAAAUAGCAACAACAACAACAAAAAGACAAAAAAAAAAAAAUUAUGAAUCACUAUGUCAUACACCUGAGACAUAUAAUAUUAUACAUUGACUAUACCUGAAUUUAAAAUAAAAUAGGAGUUCCCACUGUGUCUGAGUGGGUUAAGAACCUGAUAUACGCUGAUUAUAAGAGAAAUGCAAAUCAAAACUACCAUGAGAUACCACCUCACACCAGUCAGAAUGGCCAUCAUUAAUAAAUCCACAAAUAACAAGUGCUGGAGGGGCUGUGGAGAAAAGGGAACCCUCCUGCACUGUUGGUGGGAAUGUCAACUGGUACAGCCACUAUGGAGAACAGUUUGGAGAUACCUUAGAAAUCUGUACAUAGAACUUCCAUAUGACCCCGCAAUCCCACUCUUGGGCAUCUAUCCGGACACGUGCACGUGUACUUAAAAGAGACACGUGCACCCGCAUGUUCAUUGCAGCACUAUUCACAAUAGCCAGGACAUGGAAACAACCCAAAUGUCCAUCGACAGAUGAUUGGAUUCGGAAGAGGUGGUAUAUAUACACAAUGGAAUACUACUCAGCCAUAAAAAAGAACAAUGUAAUGCCAUUUGCAGCAACAUGGAUGGAACUAGAGAAUCUCAUCCUGAGUGAAAUGAGCCAGAAAGACAAAGACAAAUACCAUAUGAUAUCACUUAUAACUGGAAUCUAAUAUCCAGCACAAAUGAACAUCUCCUCAGAAAAGAAAAUCAUGGACUUGGAGAAAAGACUUGUGGCUGCCUGAUGAGAG